rnacentral:rRNA from 1 species
ACGAACGCUGGCGGCGUGCCUAAUACAUGCAAGUUGAGCGCUGAAGGUUGGUACUUGUACCAACUGGAUGAGCAGCGAACGGGUGAGUAACGCGUGGGGAAUCUGCCUUUGAGCGGGGGACAACAUUUGGAAACGAAUGCUAAUACCGCAUAAAAACUUUAAACACAAGUUUUAAGUUUGAAAGAUGCAAUUGCAUCACUGAAAGAUGAUCCCGCGUUGUAUUAGCUAGUUGGUGAGGUAAAGGCUCACCAAGGCGAUGAUACAUAGCCGACCUGAGAGGGUGAUCGGCCACAUUGGGACUGAGACACGGCCCAAACUCCUACGGGAGGCAGCAGUAGGGAAUCUUCGGCAAUGGACGAAAGUCUGACCGAGCAACGCCGCGGGAGUGAAGAAGGUUUUCGGAUCGUAAAACUCUGUUGGUAGAGAAGAACGUUGGUGAGAGUGGAAAGCUCAUCAAGUGACGGUAACUACCCAGAAAGGGACGGCUAACUACGUG